rnacentral:rRNA from 1 species
AGCAGCCGCGGUAAUUCCAGCUCCAAUAGCGUAUAUUAAAGUUGUUGCAGUUAAAAAGCUCGUAGUUGAAUUUCGGGAUCAGUAGGUUGGUCGUGCCACUGGUAUGUACUGGCCUCACUGGUUCCUCCUUCUUGUAGAACUGUAAUGUCAUUAAUUUGGUGUUGCAGGGAAACAGGACUGUUACUUUGAAAAAUUAAGUGUUUAAAGCAGGCUAACGCUUGAAUACAUUAGCAUGGAAUAAUGAAAUAGGACGUUCGAUCCUAUUUUGUUGGUUUCUAGGAUUGACGUAAUGAUUAAUAGGGAUAGUUGGGGGCAUUAGUAUUCAAUUGUCAGAGGUGAAAUACUUGGAUUUAUUGAAGACUAACUACUGCGAAAGCAUUUGCCAAGGAUGUUUUCAUUAAUCAAGAACGAAAGUUAGGGGAUCGAAGACGAUCAGAUACCGUCGUAGUCUUAACCAUAAACUAUGCCGACUAGGGAUCGGAUGAUGUUAAUUUUUAAUGACUCAUUCGGCGCCUUAAC